CUUGGUCAUUUAGAGGAAGUAAAAGUCGUAACAAGGUUUCCGUAGGUGAACCUGCGGAAGGAUCAUUACCGAGUGAGGGCCCUCUGGGUCCAACCUCCCACCCGUGUUUAUUUUACCUUGUUGCUUCGGCGGGCCCGCCUUAACUGGCCGCCGGGGGGCUCACGCCCCCGGGCCCGCGCCCGCCGAAGACACCCUCGAACUCUGUCUGAAGAUUGAAGUCUGAGUGAAAAUAUAAAUUAUUUAAAACUUUCAACAACGGAUCUCUUGGUUCCGGCAUCGAUGAAGAACGCAGCGAAAUGCGAUACGUAAUGUGAAUUGCAAAUUCAGUGAAUCAUCGAGUCUUUGAACGCACAUUGCGCCCCCUGGUAUUCCGGAGGGCAUGCCUGUCCGAGCGUCAUUGCUGCCCUCAAGCCCGGCUUGUGUGUUGGGCCCCGUCCUCCGAUCUCCGGGGGACGGGCCCGAAAGGCAGCGGCGGCACCGCGUCCGGUCCUCGAGCGUAUGGGGCUUUGUCACCCGCUCUGUAGGCCCGGCCGGCGCUUGCCGAUCAACCCAAAUUUUUAUCCAGGUUGACCUCGGAUCAGAUAGGGAUACCCGCUGAACUUAAGCAUAUCAAUAAGCGGAGGA
rnacentral:rRNA from 1 species